rnacentral:rRNA from 1 species
GACGAACGCUGGCGGCGUGCUUAACACAUGCAAGUCGAGCGGUAAGGCCCUUUCGGGGGUACACGAGCGGCGAACGGGUGAGUAACACGUGAGUGACCUGCCCUUAGCUCUGGGAUAAGCCUGGGAAACUGGGUCUAAUACCGGAUAUGACUCCAUGACGCAUGUUGUGGGGUGGAAAGCCUUGUGCGGCUAGGGAUGGGCCCGCGGCCUAUCAGCUUGUUGGUGGGGUGAUGGCCUACCAAGGCGACGACGGGUAGCCGGCCUGAGAGGGCGACCGGCCACACUGGGACUGAGACACGGCCCAGACUCCUACGGGAGGCAGCAGUGGGGAAUCUUGCGCAAUGGGCGAAAGCCUGACGCAGCGACGCCGCGU